rnacentral:rRNA from 2 species
AUGGAAUUGGUGGUGUAGGGGUAAAAUCCGUAGAUAUCACCAAGAAUACCCAUUGCGAAGGCGAUCUGCUGGAACUCAACUGACGCUAAGGCGCGAAAGCGUGGGGAGCAAACAGGAUUAGAUACCCUGGUAGUCCACGCCCUAAACGAUGUACACUAGUUGUUGGGGUGCUAGUCAUCUCAGUAAUGCAGCUAACGCAUUAAGUGUACCGCCUGGGGAGUACGGUCGCAAGAUUAAAACUCAAAGGAAUAGACGGGGACCCGCACAAGCGGUGGAGCAUGUGGUUUAAUUCGAAGAUACGCGAAGAACCUUACCUGGGCUUGAUAUCCUAAGAACCUUUUAGAGAUAAGAGGGUGCUAGCUUGCUAGAACUUAGAGACAGGUGCUGCACGGCUGUCGUCAGCUCGUGUCGUGAGAUGUUGGGUUAAGUCCCGCAACGAGCGCAACCCACGUAUUUAGUUGCUAACGGUUCGGCCGAGCACUCUAAAUAGACUGCCUUCGUAAGGAGGAGGAAGGUGUGGACGACGUCAAGUCAUCAUGGCCCUUAUGCCCAGGGCGACACACGUGCUACAAUGGCAUAUACAAUGAGACGCAAUACCGCGAGGUGGAGCAAAUCUAUAAAAUAUGUCCCAGUUCGGAUUGUUCUCUGCAACUCGAGAGCAUGAAGCCGGAAUCGCUAGUAAUCGUAGAUCAGCCAUGCUACGGUGAAUACGUUCCCGGGUCUUGUACUCACCGCCCGUCACACCAUGGGAGUUGAUUUCACUCGAAGCCGGAAUACUAAACUAGUUACCGUCCACAGUGGAAUCAGCGACUGGGGUGAAGUCGUAACAAGGUAACCGUAGGAGAACCUGCGGUUGGAUCACCUCCUUUCUA